AGAGUUUGAUCCUGGCUCAGGACGAACGCUGGCGGCGUGCCUAACACAUGCAAGUCGAACGGAGAAUUUCAAAGAGUUUACUCGGAGAAAUUUUUAGUGGCGGUUAGUGGCGGACGGGUGAGUAACGCGUGGGUAACCUACCCAUAAACCCGGGACAACCCUUGGAAACGAGGGCUAAUACCGGAUAAUCUUAAGGCUUGGCAUCAAGUCUUAAGAAAAGGUGGCCUCUGAAGAUGCUACCGAUUAUGGAUGGACCCGCGUCUGAUUAGCUAGUUGGUGGGGUAAAGGCCUACCAAGGCGACGAUCAGUAGCCGGCCUGAGAGGGUGAACGGCCACACUGGGACUGAGACACGGCCCAGACUCCUACGGGAGGCAGCAGUGGGGAAUCUUCCGCAAUGGACGAAAGUCUGACGGAGCAACGCCGCGUGAAGGAUGAAGGUUUUCGGAUCGUAAACUUCUUUGAUGGGGGACGAAACAAAUGACGGUACCCCAAAAACAAGCCACGGCUAACUACGUGCCAGCAGCCGCGGUAAUACGUAGGUGGCGAGCGUUGUCCGGAAUUACUGGGUGUAAAGGGCGUGUAGGCGGGAAUGAAACGGAUUGAUAAGUCAGAUGUGAAAUGCCGAGGCUUAACCUCGGAGCUGCAUCUGAAACUGUGUUUCUUGAGUGUCGGAGAGGAAAGUGGAAUUCCCAGUGUAGCGGUGAAAUGCGUAGAUAUUGGGAGGAACACCAGUGGCGAAGGCGACUUUCUGGACUGUAACUGACGCUGAGGCGCGAAAGCGUGGGGAGCAAACAGGAUUAGAUACCCUAGUAGUCCUCGCUCGUAAACGAUGGAUACUAGGUGUGAGAGGUAUCGACCCCUUCAGUGCUGCAGUUAACGCAAUAAGUAAUCCGCCUGGGGAGUAUGCACGCAAGUGUGAAACUCAAAGGAAUUGACGGGGGCCCGCACAAGCGGUGGAGUAUGUGGUUUAAUUCGAAGCAACGCGAAGAACCUUACCAAGUCUUGACAUACCGCGCAAGGCCCUGGAGACAGGGAGAUAGUUUUAUGGCGGAUACAGGUGGUGCAUGGUUGUCGUCAGCUCGUGUCGUGAGAUGUUGGGUUAAGUCCCGCAACGAGCGCAACCCUUAUCUUUAGUUACCAUCAUUCAGUUGGGGACUCUAGAGAGACUGCCGGUGACAAACCGGAGGAAGGUGGGGAUGACGUCAAAUCAUCAUGGCCCUUAUGUCCAGGGCUACACACGUACUACAAUGGCCUGAACAGAGGGAAGCGAAACUGCGAAGUUAAGCGAACCCCUUAAAACAGGUCCCAGUUCGGAUUGUAGGCUGCAACUCGCCUACAUGAAGUUGGAAUCGCUAGUAAUCGCAGGUCAGCAUACUGCGGUGAAUACGUUCCCGGGCCUUGUACACACCGCCCGUCACACCACGAAAGUCGGCAACACCCGAAGCCGGUGACUCAACCCGAAAGGGAGAGAGCCGUCGAAGGUGGGGUUGGUAAUUGGGGUGAAGUCGUAACAAGGUAACCC
rnacentral:rRNA from 1 species